rnacentral:rRNA from 1 species
AUUGAACGCUGGCGGCAGGCCUAACACAUGCAAGUCGAACGAGUGGCGGACGGGUGAGUAAUGUCUGGGAAACUGCCUGCUGGAGGGGGUUAAUUACUGGAAACGGUAGUUAAUACCGCAUACCAUCGGAUGUGCCCAGAUGGGAUUAGCUAGUAGGUGGGGUAAAGGCUCACCCAGGCAAAGAUCCCUAGCUGGUCGGAGAGGAUAACCAGCCAAACUGGAACUGAGACACGGUCCAGACUCCUACGGGAGGCAGCAGUGGGGAAAAUUGCACAAUGGGCGCAAGCCUGAUGCAGCCAUGCCGCGUGUAUGAAGAAGGCCUUCGGGUUGUAAAGUACUUUCAGCGGGGAGGCGUUACCCGCACAGGAAGCACCGGCUAACUCCGUGCCAGCAGCCGCGGUAAUAC